UAAAUACAUAAUAAUAUUAUUUUUUGUUUGCCCACGUUUGAAUCACUUGCAAAUCGCAAUUAUUUGAAAUUUGAACAGAAAUACAGACUACAGUCGUACAAAGUUCUAUUGAUACAUUUUAGUACAAAAUCACCAUGGAUAUAGUAAAGUAUACAAAUUAUCGCCUCGCCACAUUACGUUAAUUUUCAUUUAUUUUCAAAAAAUCAACGAAAUAGAAGGAAAUAAUGGCUAAAAAUCUUUGAAUUAAAAGAUUAUCCCAAUUUCUACCCGACAUAGAAUCUGCGGUAGUCAUUUGACAAUCAGUGAUUGUAAACAAUGUUCAGUAAAUUAGUAAACAUGGUCAGAGGCUGUCACAAAACAUAAUCCAAACCACUUGUUUGGGAUAGAGAAGUAAAAUGAAUUUUAGUCAUUUACGGCAACAUUGGUACUACUCUGAGCACGACUAGGAAAUCGCAUCUAAGAGCUUGACGUUUUCAGAAAACUUUGGUUCUCCAACUAUGAGUUAGCAGAUAAUGAACAGCGAAUAAAAGAUUUGGAGGCCUCACAGUUGAUGAUUUUAAAUUGCCUGGAAAAGUCUUAGAUACCUAAUAAUGUCCAAUUCACACACAUUUAUUUUAUACAGUGGAUUAUACAUUUUAUGGUUUUCAAAAUUGAAUUAUAUAACUAAGAAGUGGAGCCAAUGUAUUGACACUUUUUCAGAUGUUGACGUUCUUGAAGAUAAUCCUGCCGGCUCUGAUUAAGCUAUACAAUAUUGGAGUAAAUUAUGAAACUUAAAGGUAAUACAAUUUUGCUGAGCAAGAAUCAAAUGUUAUCAAAUAACACAGAGGGCCUGAACAUAAUAUUUAAAUUGCGAAGAAACACAUAGCUCGUUUGGACUUUGAAGUCUAAGGAUACUAGUAUCUUUUCUGAAGGGAAGUGAAUCUAGUUUGAUGACAGGUUUACUGGUCGUCAAACCCUUUCCCAUUCAUGGAACUUACUUCUCAACAAGGAAAGACAAACUUCUUUGACAGAAGAGUAAGCGAACACCAAUUACCACUCUGAAUCAUGUUUGUGAAUACAAUUUUUUGUCAAUGACUUAUUUAUAAUCAUAAGAAAACUUUAUUUUAUUAAAAAAAAUUUUUAAAUCUUUAUUUAUUAUACUAUCAUAGUGUUUGACAUAUUUAUAGUUAAAUUGUAAUUUAAAAUUUAGAACUCUAUGACUUAUGUGUUGUAAUUUAUUGCUAUACUUGUAGCAGAUUUUUGUACAUACA